CUGUUGGUUGGCUGGCUGAAGUGAUCUGUAGAUGGGAACCAUUAGUAUUAAUCUAAUCAGAGAGAGAUUACAGAAGCUAUUACUGUUUAGUUAGUUAUUCUUCUGUUCAGAAUGAGAGGCCUAGAGUCUGACAGCUGGUAAAUUGUACCAACUGUAUUCAGAGUUUAAAGAUAACAUUCGAUAAUGGAAUCAAACGUUGACUUGUGACCUGGUGUUUUAUUACCACAAAGGGAUGCUCUGUUAAAAUGGAGAGAAUCACGGUGUUUGGAAAGUGCUCUUCUUGGGGGGGGGGGGUGUGCAUAUGUGUUUUUCAAGUUCUGUCUGCCCCAAGCUCAUCAGCCAGGCAGUAGUGAGCUGUUCUGUUUCCUUCUGAGUUGGGAAGCCAAAAGAGAGGCAAGCAUCUGACCAGGGAAAGGCCAGGUAUUCUCUGAUGCCUCGGACUUCAGUUUGCAGAGAUCCCUUUUAUAUGGGAGGAAAUGAUUUACAGCCCACGCGCCCUGAGUGUGUCCUGUGCUCCCAGAGGAGACAGCAGGGACGGCAAAGGCAAAGCUGUCAGCAUUCCUAUUAGGGACACUACGCUAAGGACACGUGUAAACAUGACGCGAAAUGUAAAUGGUCCUUGAUCUCUACAAACCAAGGUUGAAUGUAGAACCCAUGUCCUUCUGAGGAAAGACCUGUCAACUCCUUAGCAGGCGUCACUACUUCCUUCAGGCUUUCUGGCUUUUCAGAUCUUUUAUUCUUUUAAAAUUAUAACAGGGCUAUGAUGAGCCAAUUUGCCGCUGUUCUGUGUAAUUUGGGUUAUUCAUUCAGUGGGAUGUAGAAGAUGAGAACACAGUUAAAGUGGCAUAUUUAAACUUCAAAGAAAGAUCUCAAUUUGCAACAGUCCAUGUGCUCCUACUUACACUAGGCACAGAGCAUUCAAGAAGCAAUGGCUGUCUCUGACACAACCGUGGAUCCCAAAGAGGACACACAUGGAGGUUUCUCCUUCAACUUGCUGUGGCUCACCAGACGCCUCCCCUCCACUUCCAAGGUGAUGGACAGCGGUCCCCUUAUUCGGGGACUGCAAAGCAAAAGCACCACCAUCUUUUAGAGUUUGGGGUUUGGGGCCCAAGUUUGGCCCCCACGUCAAUUCGGUGUGUGCGGGGUGAUAAUCGUUCACAUAGGGCUGGAAUGCUGGAUGAUUAAAGAUAUUUAGGGAAUGAUCUGGUGACAGGAUUUCAUUUUAAUUCAGAGGGUAGCUUUAGAAUUCCACCAGCUGUUGCUGUCUCUCCUCGGAAGUGUUAAAGCGUUUUGUAUCGCAGCAGUGGCUCUGCCUUGCGUGGAGGCCUGCAGCCCUGCAGUCCAGGCUCUAGCAGCUGCAGUGUGCGGUCUGAAAUGCCUGCUGGUGUGUCAUGUUCUGCCAGUGAUGUGGCAGGCUAAAGAACCACCCACAUCGACUCUGCCUGCGCCUCAGAACCACGAACUGCUGCUGAAACAGGAGGCUCUUGGUCGUGCCACCAUCAGAAGGUGUUUGCAUCCUGAGGCUGCCUUCAAUGGGGAAGCUGGUCGUCAGGCUGAGACAGGAAAGAAAAGAAGGAAUGGAGAAGGAAGGAUGAGGACCUCCUUCACCUCAGGAUACUCUAUUAGAUGCGGAGACUGUAGCUGUGGCUUCUUGGCAGAAGAUCAGUAAUGAGGAGAUGGAGCAUCCGUACCUUCGAACCGUGUGAGAAGCAUGUUCUAACAGAAUAAACAAGCAAAGGGUGUAAAAAUAUAGCAGCAAGGAACCAGAGAAAGUCCUCUUCCCUUUCCCAGUACCUUUUACUUCUAUGGAGAGGGGGAAGGAAAAAGAGAAGAAAAAAAGAAAAAAGAAGAAACAGGAGGAAAACAAGAAGCACUGAAAGGUGAGGUGCCGGUCCUGCUUGAUGACAUGGAUAAGGCUGCCACACAGUGUAUGGAGAGAAGGUUUCAUCAGACAGCGCUCACUCGUGGGAUGCCGCAGAGUGUUUCAGCCAUUUCCCUGCACCAUGUGCUGCAAGUGGUACGUGUUGGCAGUUUUAUAUAGGGAAGGAGACCACAGGCAGCAACAGAUGACUUGGCACCAUUCCCAGCCUUUUCUGCCUUUCCCAAGGCACAUGCUUGAAAUGCUGGUUGUCCGGCUCCAGAGCUGGUAACAUAUCCCAUAAAAUCACCGCUUAAUCAGAAAGAUGAACACAAGAAGACCGAUUGAGACUAAAGAAACGGGGAAUCAUGGAUGCUCUUUGUGUGUUUCUCUACUUACCCACUUUUGGCAAAUAUCCCCUGAAAUUGUAUAUCUUUCAAGCCUUGCCCAGUUGCAUCAUGAUAGAGCAAUUCGUGUUGAGGAAUGAGGUUGAUACAAAAACAAAAAGAUGAGGUCCCUGGGCUUAAGAUGAGGUCACUGGGCUUGGGGAUUUUACAGUGUGGUAGGGAGAUAGACAGCAGUGCUGAUCUAUGCACGUAGCAGAUGCCAUUGAAGUACAGAAUGCUGUGGAAACAGAAGAGGGGGAGUAACUCAUUCUUCCUAGAAUAAGAGUUAACAUUCUCGGAGACCAUUAGGGAAGGAUGCACUGGAAUGAGACUUGCUAUUGCCUAAAAGAAUAAAAGACAAUUUAACAAACAUUCUAGGCAUAGGUACGCAACAUGUGCUCCUCAGAAGUUUAAAGAAUGGCAAACAGCAAUCGAGGAUCUUAGAAUACUUAACAGGUGGAAGGCUAGAAAAUGUAACCGUUGAAACCAAACAAGGACAUUUGGAAACUCAUUAGAAACUUGGAUUUAAAGAAGUGACAAAAUCGUUAUAGUAGAGGAUAGAUUGCAGAAAGGACAGGCUGAAGACAGAGAUCAUUUGCACACUUCUAGCAAAGUGUUAGGGAGAGAUGGCCAGUGCCUCAUCUUUCAACAAUGGCCUUCGGUUGCUGGGAAAACCCCCAUGACCUAGGAGACAACAGUGCUUGAACAUACUGCACAGACGGUGCAUUGAAUGAAGUGAAGGGACAGCAGACCACAGAAAGUUAUCAGACAGCAAUCACUAGAAAACUGUUCUUAAUGCAAUUCAACAUUUAAAACAUGGCUUCUCCAUUGUAGAAAUAAAGUUUAUCCAUAUAGCAAAUUCACUCCAUGAAUCUGCUUGCCUCACUUCAAUCAGCAGAGAAAUUCUCAUUUGAGAGUUUCCUGACUUCAAAGGUGACACAGGUUCAGGCGUUAGUCAUUCUGAAGGUGAUUUCUCUUAACUUCCGAGUCUUCCAUUAAACUUACUUUUUUUGUCCUAUGUUUAGUAUGCAGAUCAAUUGGGGGUUUCAUUUGUUUGUCUGUUUGAUUUAUUCUCCCUCCAUUUUUAGUCAGUCCUAUUCUUUAUCUUUUAACUGGAACAUUGUGCUUACAAAUCAACUCAUGAAGUUAUAAUAAAAGCCACAAUUAAGAUUG